GGAGGCAGCAGUAGGGAAUCUUCCACAAUGGACGAAAGUCUGAUGGAGCAACGCCGCGUGAGUGAAGAAGGGUUUCGGCUCGUAAAGCUCUGUUGGUAGUGAAGAAAGAUAGAGGUAGUAACUGGCCUUUAUUUGACGGUAAUUACUUAGAAAGUCACGGCUAACUACGUGCCAGCAGCCGCGGUAAUACGUAGGUGGCAAGCGUUGUCCGGAUUUAUUGGGCGUAAAGCGAGUGCAGGCGGUUCAAUAAGUCUGAUGUGAAAGCCUUCGGCUCAACCGGAGAAUUGCAUCAGAAACUGUUGAACUUGAGUGCAGAAGAGGAGAGUGGAACUCCAUGUGUAGCGGUGGAAUGCGUAGAUAUAUGGAAGAACACCAGUGGCGAAGGCGGCUCUCUGGUCUGCAACUGACGCUGAGGCUCGAAAGCAUGGGUAGCGAACAGGAUUAGAUACCCUGGUAGUCCAUGCCGUAAACGAUGAGUGCUAAGUGUUGGGAGGUUUCCGCCUCUCAGUGCU
rnacentral:rRNA from 1 species